CAGACUAUGUGUUACUGGCGUAAACAUGGAGAACCAUGAGGAAGCACAUAGGUAACGGCCGUACGCCUGGGCAGAGUAU
rnacentral:ncRNA from 3 species